rnacentral:rRNA from 1 species
GGAGUAAAAAUUAGUGUAAAGGUUAAGUGUAUAAAUAUGGGGUAGGUAAAUCAAUUUUAAAGGUUUUGUUUUAGUACGUGGUAAAGAAAAAAUAAACAUAACGAUAGAGUAGUACCGUGAGGGAAUAUUGAAAUAUGUGAAAAGUGUUUUUUUGAAAAGUAGACUUUAUGUUGUACCUUUUGUAUCAGGGUUUAAUAAUUAGAAAAGAAGAUUCUGGAGUCUCGAUAUGAGGAGUGCUAUAAAUUUAAAAUAGUUCAGGUGGCAAACUGAUUAUACAUAGAUUUAUAGGAAUGAAAUAUUAACCGAUCCUCAAGGUAUCUAGUUUCUUGAGAAAUGAAUUUAAUUCAGGGAUUUUGAGAACUUUAAGACAUUAUCUUUGGGUUUAAAUAAAUCUUUAUGUUGUGGGGGAUAAGCUCCGCAAUAAGGUUAAAACUUUUUGAUUUGGAAAUUGAGUAGGCUUGAAAGUAGCCACCUAUUUGAAGAUGUUAUAAUUUAUUUUCCAGGGAUUUAAUUUUUAAAAGUUUAAAGAAGAUAUUAAGAAAUAAUCUGGAAUAAGGAGAGAUUAGUUAUAAUGUUAAAAUUAUUAUAGAGUUUGAAAAAACAAAGAAGUUUUAAGAAGGAACUCGGCAAAUAUAAUGCUCGCCUGUUUAUCAAAAACAUCGCCUUUUGUUAAAAUAGAAGGUCUAGCCUGCCCACUGAAGAAUUAAAGGGCCGCGGUAUAUUGACCGUGCAAAGGUAGCAUAAUCAUUAGUCUUCUAAUUAAAGGCUGGAAUGAAUGGUUGGACGAGGUAUUAGCUGUCUCCUUAAAAUUAUCUAAAAUUUAACUUUUUAGUCAAAAGGCUAAAAUAUAAUUGGAGGACGAGAAGACCCUAUAGAUCUUUAUAUUUAUAUCGUUUAACCAUUUUAGAGGGGUUAAGGUUUAAUGAGGCAAAUAUUUUGUUGGGGUGACAGGAAGAUAAUAAAAACUAUUUUUAUAAAGAGACCAUUGAUGUAUGAAUAAGUGAUCCGUAAUAACGAUUAAAAGACUAAGUUACCUUAGGGAUAACAGCGUAAUCUUUUUUGAGAGUUCUAAUCGACAAAAAGGGUUGCGACCUCGAUGUUGGACUAAGGGUUAUUCUUGGGUGUAGAAGUUCAAGGUUUAGGUCUGUUCGACCUUUGAAUCCUUACAUGAUCUGAGUUCAGACCGGCGUAAGCCAGGUUGGUUUCUAUCCUCAAUUUUUAAUAAUAUUUUAGUACGAAAGGACCAAAUAUUAGAGACAUUCUUUUAGAGUUGAAUAUCAAUA